AUUAAGCUUUGUUUCUUCUGAUCAAUGCUUUGAGGUCUAAUAAUUAAACUCUAUAGCAAACUAUUGCAGCUAUUUUAAAAAUUGAUCAACAACAGGUGCAAGCACAAGACCAUAUUAUACAUGCAAGUUAUGCAUUUUCAGCCAACAUAACAAAUUUACCCCUUUCUUGUGAGCAUUUCAAGCUCUUUACGGGGCUUUUUCUGGACUGCCCUGAGUGAUCUUUAGUGAGCCUAGGUUAGCUUAAUGGCAGUGAGACGUUCUUUUGCUUUAAUUGUUAUUAUUACAUGGCCGUAUAAGCCUUAAAGGCCAAGAAAGAAGAUUUAUCUGCGUCAAUGCAAGAUUCUUUGUUUGACUAAGAUCAGAUCUUCAUAUUAAGAAUAUAGU
rnacentral:misc_RNA from 1 species